rnacentral:piRNA from 1 species
UGGAAAAGAGGAACAAAUUUU